GAGGUGGCUCAGUGGUAGAGCACUUGCUUUGUAUGCGUGAGGCCCUGGGUUCAAUCUCCAGUACCACA
rnacentral:tRNA from 1 species